ACAGCAGUCGCCGCGGGAAUACAGAGGGUGCGAGCGUUAAUCGGAUUUACUGGGCGUAAAGCGUGCGUAAGCGGCUUCUUAAGUCGGAUGUGAAAUCCCUGAGCUUAACUUAGGAAUUGCAUUCGAUACUGGGAAGCUAGAGUAUGGGAGAGGAUGGUAGAAUUCCAGGUGUAGCGGUGAAAUGCGUAGAGAUCUGGAGGAAUACCGAUGGCGAAGGCAGCCAUCUGGCCUAAUACUGACGCUGAGGUACGAAAGCAUGGGGAGCAAACAGGAUUAGAUACCCGGGUAGUCCCUGUCUCUUAUAC
rnacentral:rRNA from 1 species